rnacentral:rRNA from 1 species
CCCUUAGAUGUUCUGGGCUGCACGCGCGCUACACUGACAUGUCCAGCGAGCUCCCAACCUGCUCGGCAAAGAAUGGGUACCCUUUUUAACGCAUGUCGUGAUGGGGAUAGAUUAUUGCAAUUGUUGAUCUUGAACGAGGAAUUCCUAGUAAGUGCAAGUCAUUAGCUUGUGCUGAAUACGUCCCUGCCCUUUGUACACACCGCCCGUCGCUCCUACCGAUUGAGUGCUCCGGUGAGCUCUUCGGACUGCGCGGUCUGCAGUUUCUGCGUUCCGUGCGGAAAGUUGCGCAAACCUUAACAUUUAGAGGAAGGAGAAGUCGUAACA